CCCGCACAAAACAAAAUACAGUGAUAUGCUCCUUUCUCGUUCUCUUCACCUCAAACGACCCUCGUUCACUUUCACCUCAAACCCUCUUUCUCUCUUCCCUCUGCUGCUUCUCUGCCGGUAACCCACCACCACCAGUUCUCUCGCCGACGGCACAACUGCUUCUGUUGUCGCCCUGCCCUAGUUGUUGUUGAUAUUCUCUCUCUCGCCUGCUCCAUCAUUCUCUCAUCACUACCUUGUAUCGCCACCACCAACGGUGGCCGCGGGUGGUGUUUAAUGGUUUGUCAUCCUUGCUACCCUAUCGAUCGUUAAUUGAGAUGCAAAUUGAGCUAGAGAACCUGGACCACUCAUAGGAUAACGAGAAGCUAGCAGCUCGUCUGAGGCUAAUUGUUAAGGAACGUCAUCUAAUGGAGUCGAUGUUGGCUGAUUUAGAAGAGGAGCACGACAAAGCUAUCUGUAGAAUGGAAUUCCUUGAGAAAGAGGUAUUCAACAAUCCGAGGGAGCAGCCUUUUACCAUUGAGUAGAUAAAUGAAGUUCGAGAAAAGUUGGCAAAGUUCAUUACAUUUAUUGUCUUUGAUAUUCUUGUAGUAAAUCUAGAUUAUGGAUGCUUGUUUUUCAUAGGAUUGUAAUGUAACCAAUUUUUAUAUUUAUAAUUAUAUACUAUUCAAUUUAAUUAUCUAUAUAAUUGGAUACUUUUUUUA